rnacentral:rRNA from 1 species
UACAGAGGUCUCAAGCGUUGUUCGGAUUCAUUGGGCGUAAAGGGUGCGUAGGUGGCGCCAUAAGUCAGGUGUGAAAUCUCGGGGCUCAACCCCGAAACUGCAUUUGAUACUGUGGUGCUCGAGUGCUGGAGAGGAGAUUGGAAUUUACGGUGUAGCAGUGAAAUGCGUAGAUAUCGGGAGGAACACCGGUGGCGAAGGCGGUUCUCUGGGCCUUACCUGACGCUGAGGAGCGAAAGCGUGGGGAGCGAACAGG